GUUGAUGCCUCUUUGUGUGUGUGGUGUGUGUGUGUGUGUGUAUUUAUAAUUGUUUUCUUGAAAGGCCAUGUAAAUUUCUUGAAAAAAAAAAAAAAAAAAGUAAGGGAAAAGAAAACGCAAUAGUACGAUUGAUUCAUUGCCCAUUUUUUAAAUAUUUUAUCUUUAAUUCAACGACUAUGAAUAGAAAGCAGCAGUAUCAGCAGCAUAUAGAGAGGCCUUUAAUUCUCGACCAAAAUUCAUGAAUGACACGAACAUCACCUACUAGAGUCCGAGAUACAAGACUAUUAUAUACACCCACGGAGUACCGCGUACUAUCUCCUGUAGUCAAUAUCAUUCAUGGAAAAUGUUCAAUUCGUAAACAUAUAACAUAAAGAUGAACAUUAUCGACAUCAACUUCGUCACUCUCAGAAAUAACAACCGUUAUGCAGAAAAAAAAAGAUUAUUCGAAUACGAUUCGAAAUUCAUGCAGGGUCCAACAUUAUACAAGUUAAUUUGUUUUUUAACCCAGAAGAUUCCCUUAAAAAGGAUCUCUGGGAGGGAGAGGGAGAGAGAAAGAGAAAAGUGCCACACGACAGAAGCGGCCAAUCAACCCGGGGAGGUCAGGUACAUUCACAAUGCGGAAGAAAAGAGAGAAUUUAAAAAAUGAGAUUCGUAUCUGAGACAAAUCCAAAAUGUCAUCUCUCACACGUGCAAUAUUUUGUAAAUCUCCAAAACAAUAAUAUAUGAAAUCAAAAUAA